AGCUCGCGGCCUAUCAGCUAGUUGGUGGGGUAACGGCCCACCAAGGCGACGACGGGUAGCCGGCCUGAGAGGGCGACCGGCCACACUGGGACUGAGACACGGCCCAGACUCCUACGGGAGGCAGCAGUGGGGAAUAUUGCACAAUGGGCGAAAGCCUGAUGCAGCGACGCCGCGUGAGGGAUGACGGCCUUCGGGUUGUAAACCUCUUUCAGCAGGGAAGAAGCGAAAGUGACGGUACCUGCAGAAGAAGCGCCGGCUAACUACGUGCCAGCAGCCGCGGUAAUACGUAGGGCGCAAGCGUUGUCCGGAAUUAUUGGGCGUAAAGAGCUCGUAGGCGGUUUGUCGCGUCUGCUGUGAAAACCCGAGGCUCAACCUCGGGCCUGCAGUGGGUACGGGCAGACUAGAGUGCGGUAGGGGAGACUGGAAUUCCUGGUGUAGCGGUGGAAUGCGCAGAUAUCAGGAGGAACCCCCCGCCGCGCCCCGCGCCCGGC
rnacentral:rRNA from 1 species